UGGGGGAUAUUGCACAAUGGGCGAAAGCCUGAUGCAGCGACGCCGCGUGGGGGAUGAAGGCUUUCGGGUUGUAAACCUCUUUCGCUAUCGAACAGGGCCCGCUUAGGGUGGGUUGAGGGUAGGUGGAGAAGAAGCGCCGGCUAACUACGUGCCAGCAGCCGCGGUAAUACGUAGGGCGCGAGCGUUGUCCGGAAUUAUUGGGCGUAAAGGACAUGGAGGCGGCUUGUUGCGCCUGCUGUGACAACGCGGGGCUUAACUUCGCGCGUGCAGUGGGUACGGGCAGGCUUGAGUGUGGUAGGGGUGACUGGAAUUACAGGUGUAGCGGUGGAAUACGCCGAUAUCUGGAGGGACACCGAUGGCGAAGGCAGGUCACUGGGCCAUUACUGACGCUGAGGAGCGAAAGCAUGGGUAGCGAACAGG
rnacentral:rRNA from 1 species